GUUAUCCGGAAUCAUUGGGUUUAAAGGGUCCGUAGGUGGAUAAUUAAGUCAGAGGUGAAAUCUUGCAGCUCAACUGUAAAAUUGCCUUUGAUACUGGUUAUCUUGAGUUAUUAUGAAGUAGUUAGAAUAUGUAGUGUAGCGGUGAAAUGCAUAGAUAUUACAUAGAAUACCAAUUGCGAAGGCAGAUUACUAAUAAUCAACUGACACUGAUGGACGAAAGCGUGGGUAGCGAACAGGAUUAGAUACCCUGGUAGUCCACGCCGUAAACGGUGGGCGCUAGGUGUGGGGAACAUUCCACGUUCUCCGUGCCGCAGCUAACGCAUUAAGCGCCCCGCCUGGGGAGUACGGCCGCAAGGCUAAAACUCAAAGGAAUUGACGGGGGCCCGCACAAGCGGCGGAGCAUGCGGCUUAAUUCGAUGCAACGCGAAGAACCUUACCUAGGCUUGACAGUUGGGGAAAUCUGGCAGAGAUGCCAGGUCCGUAAGGGCCCCAAAACAGGUGGUGCAUGGCU
rnacentral:rRNA from 1 species